UACAGAGGUCUCAAGCGUUGUUCGGAUUCAUUGGGCGUAAAGGGCGCGUAGGCGGUGGGGUAAGUCUGGUGUGAAAUCUCGGAGCUCAACUUCGAAAUUGCACUGGAUACUGCUCUGCUAGAGGGCUGGAGAGGAGAUCGGAAUUUACGGUGUAGCAGUGAAAUGCGUAGAUAUCGUAAGGAAGACCAGUGGCGAAGGCGAGUCUCUGGACAGUUACUGACGCUGAGGCACGAAGGCCAGGGGAGCAAACGGG
rnacentral:rRNA from 1 species